GUCGGGGCCCUCUUCCUCCUCCUCCUCCUCCUCCUCCUCCGGCUCCGCCGCCGCUUCUGCUGCAGUGAAAGUGCCACGGCGAAUUUCUGCGUGAUUUCGAUAAGCAUCGCCGCUUUCAGUGUUAUCAGCAAAGACACAAGCGCAGAAGUGACAUCUUUUCCACGAAUCCAGGAAAGAAGAAAAAUCCACUCAGGCCAGAUAAAUCCUGGGCAAUUCCCACAGGGAAAGGCAUUGGAUACGUGCUCGUCGAGAAAGAGAAAAUGAGGAAAAAAAAAAAAAAGCCCGUACACACAAGCCGCCCUCCCUACCUGCCUGCCAGAACCAGGACCUUUCGGACCCAGAAAUGAAUGAAAGGAACAAAAUGCGGAGCACAAAGAGCACCGAGGGGACAGGGAGAGGGUCGCGGUCUCCCCCUCUCUCCGCCGGCCACGGCCAGGCGCCGCGGGCAGCAGUCCGACCUCCGCGGAAGCAGUGCGCGCACUUGCCAUGAAGUUUGCAGGCUCUUUGAGCGGUUGCCUUAAAAAUUGCCAUUCAACUUUCGGCUCCCGAGCGUCCCGGCUUCCCGAGCCGCGGCAGCGCCCUGCACUCGCACCGGCCACGGGGCAGCGGGGCCUCCGCCGUCGCGGCCCACGCGCGUUUCCCGGGACGGGCGGGCAGCAGCGGGCGCAGGCUGCGGCCGGGAUGUCCUCCACGGACCCGGCCUUUUAUUUUGGCUUGGCGGAUCAAAUUAUGCUGAGAAAACACCGAGCGCAGAGCUGCGUCCCUCGCCAGAGAGCAUGCGAUGGCUUUAGCACGCUAAACUAAUAAUCUUGCAUUAAAAAAGCCAAGGAGGCUAGAGGAGAAGAAUAACCCCCCCCCCUCAAACACUCAGAAUAUUCUUUACUGCGAAAGAGCACUUCUGGAUGCGUUGCUUUAAAUCUCAUUCUCUUUUUCUCUCAAAAAUGACUGUUUAACAUAAGAAAAAAGGCUACUUGACACAAAGCUUUUGUUAUCCAGUUGAUCAGCAACGUGCUUUAGAUACUUGUAAGGGGAAAAAAGCCCCACAACAGACAUUGAUUUUAGAAAAUCAAUAACCAACAUUUAAUAAAAAGAACAGAGGAAACACAA